GGAAGCGAAGAGUCAUCACCAUGCUAGGAGUCACAUAGGAGGAAUUAGAAUCAUACUUCUCUCUCAAAGGGAUUGAAAGUUGAGAACAAAAUGAAACGGGGAGGAGGAAGUGUGCAGAGUUUGGGAAAGAACACAAUUGGUGUCCGGGCUGACAGGAACCAACUAAUUGAAGAAUGAGCUCCUGGGCUCAGCUACUGUCUUUUUUUUUUUUUUUUCUUUUCUCUCUCAGAUACUGUCUUUUGUAAGCCACACCUGAGUUUGCCUGCCUUAAGAGUAGCAAGAGCCUGAGGCCCCAGAGGACACUGGGGUACAAAGGAGGCACAGACCAGGGCUGGAAAGGCGUCCUCACUGGCGAAUCCCCUGAGCCCUGCAGGUCAAGAGAGGUGUGUACCCUGCCCCCUUUCUGGAUCCCGGGCCAGCCUUGCCCUUCUCAGCCCGAAGGCUGUGACACCUGGUGUCUGAUUCCAGCUGGAGCCAUAAAGAGCACAUUCCUCCUGGAUAAGCUGUCCAAACCCACCAUAAUAUCUGCUGUUCAACCUGACAUCGCAUGGACCUUUACUGCAUCUUUUACACGCAAUCGGAAGCAUCCGUUGGACACAAAAGAGGCACCCAUGAUGCUCUUUCCAGUGUGUAGUACCUUCCCCCCACCCCAGACAGUGUCAGUCCCUCUCUCUGUCUCCAUUUAUGAAAAUCCUACCUAUCUUACAGGGCUUAAGUGCCACCUCUGCCAUGAAACCGUCCUUUAUCUUUUGAAACCAUAAUAAUCCUCUUUCCUUUAAACUUACAGAUUUCCCAUUUGCCCUCUAUACUGUUCAUAGGAUGCUUGCCUCGUUUGUUUGUUUGUUUGUGUUUGCUGUGGUCAGUUGUGUACAUUCUCCGCACCAGACUAAAGUCCUGGAUGGCAGAAUGUCCUCCAUUCUACCUAAUUUUGGGGUAUACAUAGCACAAAGGAAAAUAAACCCCUUAAAAAUUGGAGAGAAGACAAAUCUGGUUGCUUCUUCAGUGAAAAUCUGUUGGGUUUUGCCUACCUGGAAUCCACCCCUCUUCUUCUGGUAACAGCAUCAUCAUGAUACACUUACUCUGAUCAUGCACAAAAACUGGUUCUCUGGAGCAGUCAUGUAACCAAGAUCUAGAUAAUAAAUGCAUUCUGUCUCCCUAAACACCAUGGCUCAGCAAUGGGCACCUAACCCAAGCCAGGCCAAUGCAGUUUAAUUGUAAGAGUUUUUUAGUGAACUAUUGAGAGAAAGAGAAGCUUUUAUUCAGCCGGACUUGAAACUGAAAAGAUGUGUGCCUGGAGCCUGUUAGAAGCCAUCACUUGAGGAGAGCCUGCUUGAAAAUGAAGUCAAUAUGCAGCAGAACUGAUCCGAAAAUGCGUUGAUGACAUUGUUUGAAUCCUUGGAUCCAGCUGUGCCAGAAACUUUGAAAUUACAUAAACCAACAAAUUUUGAACUGGGUUUUCCUUUGCUUAUAAUGAAAAGAACACUGCCUAAUGAAUCCUCUGAAAUUUCAGUUGGCAUAACCAACAUUCAAAGCCAUCUUCCUGUCAAAGGGUGAUGGAAGAAUUUGAUUAUACUCCAAGUUUCAAUAAAGAAAAAAUGGAAAAAAAAAAAAGAAAAAAUGGAGGGAUACCUAGGUGGCUCAGUUGGUUGAGCAUCCAACUCUUCAUUUCGGCUCAGGAUCAAACUACAUGUCAGACUCUAUGCUCAACUCAGAGUCUGCUAAUUUUUCUCCCUCUGCUCCUCCCCUACUCACACAGCACUCUCUUUCUCAAAUGAAUGAAUAAAUAAAAUAUUUUAAAAAAUGAAAAAAUGGAUAUUUCUAGGAAGUUG